AGAGGUGGGUACUCCGUUACAUUUACUUGAGUAAGUUUUUGAAAAAAAUGUACUUUUUAAGUACCUUUUUUGCACGAUACUUUUUACUUUUACUUGAGUACAUUUAUGAAGAAGAAACGGUACUUUUACUCCGCUACAUUUGCAAAAUUCGACUCGUUACUUUUUUAAAAAAAUAGUUUAACACAUUAGAUAACAUGCCGUCAGUGGAGUUUCCGGUAACUUUUUUACCAAUGAGACGUGGCCAUACAGUCACAUGACCAGUUUGAAACCGUGGCGGGCAGAGCGGCCCAAGCAUUUCAAAGUAGCGACACACGGAAAGAAGAAAUAUGAUGGCAGAGUCUACGCUAGAGCUGAAGAGGAUGAACACCUUUGGCCUCACAUACAAAGAAUGUUUCGCUUAAAAGCAGCACAAAAGAACAGCUAUGUCUGCAGUGUCAGUGUCUUCAAUGAGAGCCAAAACAAACCAACUUUUCAGUGUGAAACAACUCAACUCGUGUGACCUGAGGAAACGGUCUCCACUUCAUCAGACAUCACCUAGACACAGAGCUGGAUGAGACCAGCACAAACAGCAGCCUAACCGACGAAGAUGAUGGAUCCAUGGGGUCAGGAAAGCCAGAAGCAGAGGAACUGGAGAGGUACCUUUCAUGUCCAUUCACUGGAGGUGUGGAUCUAUUGCAUGGCUUUCCUCAGAUCAAGAAGCUGUCGAUCAAAGUCAAUACAGCUCUUCCUGCAUCUGCAGCCUGUGAGAGACUUUUUAGUCAUGCAGGACUCCUGUUCACUGCCAAACGGUCACAGCUUCACAGCAAGAACCUUGAGAGCAAACUGCUGUCUGAUUUGAUGUUA